rnacentral:rRNA from 1 species
AAAAACAUGUCUUUUUGAAUAUAAUAUAAAGUCUAACCUGCCCACUGAUAAUUUAAAGGGCCGCGGUAUUUUGACUGUGCAAAGGUAGCAUAAUCAUUUGUCUUUUAAUUGAAGGCUGGAAUGAAUGGUUGAAUGAAAUAUUAACUGUCUCAUUUUUAAAAAUAUAAAAAUUUAGCUUUUAAGUCAAAAGGCUUAAAUAUAUUUAGAGGACGAGAAGACCCUAUAGAUCUUUAUAUUAUUAAUAUUAUUAUAAUUUAGAAAAUUAUUUAAUAAUAUUAUUAAUAAUAUUUUAUUGGGGUGAUAGGAAAAUUAAAUAAACUUUUCAUAUAUAAAUAUACAUUGAUUUAUGAAUUUAUGAUCCAAUAAUAUUGAUUAUAAGAUUAAGUUACCUUAGGGAUAACAGCGUAAUUUUUUUAGAGAGUUCAUAUCGAUAAAAAAGAUUGCGACCUCGAUGUUGAAUUAAAAGUUAUUUCUAGAUGCAGAAGUUUAGAGUUUAGGUCUGUUCGACCUUUGAAUUUUUACAUGAUCUGAU